rnacentral:rRNA from 1 species
CCUACGGGAGGCAGCAGUGGGGAAUAUUGGGCAAUGGAGGAAACUCUGACCCAGCGACGCCGCGUGCGGGAUGAAGGCCUUCGGGUUGUAAACCGCUUUCAGUAGGGAAGAAGCGAAAGUGACGGUACCUACAAAAGAAGCACCGGCUAACUAUGUGCCAGCAGCCGCGGUAAUACAUAGGGUGCAAGCGUUGUCCGGAAUUAUUGGGCGUAAAGAGCUCGUAGGUCGUUUGUUACGUCGGAUGUGAAACCUGAGGCUCAACCUCAGGCCUGCAUUCGAUACGGGCAAACUAGAGUUUGGUAGGGGAGACUGGAAUUCCUGGUGUAGCGGUGGAAUGCGCAGAUAUCAGGAGGAACACCAAUGGCGAAGGCAGGUCUCUGGGCCAAUACUGACACUGAGGAGCGAAAGUCUGGGGAGCGAACAGGAUUAGAUACCCUGGUAGUCCAGACCGUAAACGGUGGGCACUAGUUGUGGGAACCUUCCACGGUUUCUGCGACGCAGCUAACGCAUUAAGUGCCCCGCCUGGGGAGUACGAUCGCAAGNUUAAAACUCAAAUGAAUUGACGG